rnacentral:rRNA from 1 species
CUACGGGCUGCACCAGCGGGGAAUAUUGCACAAUGGGCGCAAGCCUGAUGCAGCCGUGCCGCGUGUAUGAAGAAGGCCUUCGGGUUGUAAAGUACUUUCAGCGGGGAGGAAGGGAGUAAAGUUAAUACCUUUGCUCAUUGACGUUACCCGCAGAAGAAGCACCGGCUAACUCCGUGCCAGCAGCCGCGGUAAUACGGAGGGUGCAAGCGUUAAUCGGAAUUACUGGGCGUAAAGCGCACGCAGGCGAUUUGUUAAGUCAGAUGUGAAAUCCCCGGGCUCAACCUGGGAACUGCAUCUGAUACUGGCAAGCUUGAGUCUCGUAGAGGGGGGUAGAAUUCCAGGUGUAGCGGUGAAAUGCGUAGAGAUCUGGAGGAAUACCGGUGGCGAAGGCGGCCCCCUGGACGAAGACUGACGCUCAGGUGCGAAAGCGUGGGGAGCAAACAGGAUUAGAUACCCCUGUAGUC